UCCUACGGGGGGCAGCAGUGAGGAAUAUUGGUCAAUGGUCGUAAGACUGAACCAGCCAAGUAGCGUGCAGGAUGACGGCCCUAUGGGUUGUAAACUGCUUUUAUGCGGGGAUAAAAUGCGUCACGUGUGAUGUUUUGUAGGUACCGCAUGAAUAAGGACCGGCUAAUUCCGUGCCAGCAGCCGCGGUAAUACGGAAGGUCCGGGCGUUAUCCGGAUUUAUUGGGUUUAAAGGGAGCGUAGGCCGCAUGUUAAGCGUGCCGUGAAAUGCCGUGGCUCAACCAUGGCACUGCGGCGCGAACUGGCUU
rnacentral:rRNA from 1 species